rnacentral:misc_RNA from 1 species
GUAGGUAAUAGGUUUGCCUACCGAAGCCCGUAGCCAGCGACUAUAAACAACUCGGCCAUAGUCGCCCCUCUGGGGGCUGGCGACGCCGUCAAUCUGUGCCUGGUAGUGCCUCUUCCGGGGGUAUCACCAGCAGCCCGUUGCCCUGCGGCAUUCGAGUUCACAGAUCAAACGAUAGCGGCCACUGCCUGUGGUUGAGAUAUGAUCGGCCUCCAGCUCUCACUGAGCUGGCGAAAAUUUGCGGAACCUGCGG